UAAGGAAUAUUGGUCAAUGGACGCAAGUCUGAACCAGCCAUGCCGCGUGGAGGAUUAAGGCCCUCUGGGUUGUAAACUCCUUUUAUCUGGGAAGAAAUGCUUUGAUUCUUCAAAGCUUGACGGUACCAGAGGAAUAAGCACCGGCUAACUCCGUGCCAGCAGCCGCGGUAAUACGGAGGGUGCAAGCGUUAUCCGGAUUCACUGGGUUUAAAGGGUGCGUAGGUGGGCAGGUAAGUCAGUGGUGAAAUCUCCGAGCUUAACUCGGAAACUGCCAUUGAUACUAUUUGUCUUGAAUAUUGUGGAGGUAAGCGGAAUAUGUCAUGUAGCGGUGAAAUGCUUAGAUAUGACAUAGAACACCAAUUGCGAAGGCAGCUUACUACACAAUCAUUGACACUGAGGCACGAAAGCGUGGGGAUCAAACA
rnacentral:rRNA from 1 species